GAGCCACGCCUCCAGCCUGUCAGAUGAGGUGGCGGCCGGCCUCUGCUCGCCACCCCAGAAGUGUGAACUUCGCACAUCUCCGUGGAGUGAUUGAUAUAAGCAGGCUGGUGUUUUAUCGUUUGUGUAAUUGCUUAAUGGUAGAGGAACGGGCCAAACAGCCUAAUGAAAUUGAUUGCAUGUGUUGUCUGUGGUUGGAGCUGAUUUAUGAGAGGAACAAGGGAGUUAAUUGCUCCCCCCCCAGCUCCGGUAGUCUGCCGGAGUGUGGUGGUAUUUUUCUUUGUGGUUCCUGCUGUUAAAUUGUAGCGGAGUAUUUAAGCCGCGAGUGUUUAGUGUGUGCAACACGUAAUCAGGUGCAUCCUGGGACCCCCCCAUGGGUUAAUGCUCUGCUCUCUGACUGGUUCUACUUGUAGCUGGAGUGAUGGUGGCAGCAGAUAUGAUACCACUCGUCUGGAGGACUGAUGGGCUCGGCCUGCCAUCGCCUGCUGUGCCACUUUAAUGUAGCGGGGGAGUCUGACACGGGAAAUGGCCCCUAUCGAAUGGGGGGGGAUUUCUCAUUUCCUCCCAGGCUCCUAGCCAAUCAAAAUCAUUGAUCCUCCACUUCCAAUCAAUCAUUGGCACCCCUCUUCUUGUGAAGCCCCCCCAUUAGGCUGAGAUUGGCUCAGGGGGUGUCAGUACGUGGCUGAUUUACCACUCAAGUGUCUUGCUGUGGCUUCACUUCCUGUCCGCUGGUGUGGUGAUGGCGAGCAGAGGCUAGUCCUCGCGGAGGAUAGCAGGUGUGUUUGAUGUGUGUUUGAUGUAUGUUUGAUGUCGCAGCAACUGUUCGUGGGUGAUGAUCGAUGUUGGAAAUUAUCAGCACUGACUCCAUCUUCCCAAAACUGACCAGGUGGUUAACACUGUAACACCUACAGACGGAUGACCAGCAGGUUAAUGCUGUAACACCUACAGACGGAUGACCAGCAGGUUAAUGCUGUAACACCUACAGACGGAUGACCAGCAGGUUAAUGCUGUAACACCUACAGACGGAUGACCAGCAGGUUAAUGCUGUAACACCUACAGACGGAUGACCAGCAGGUUAAUGCUGUAACACCUACAGACGGAUGACCAGCAGGUUAAUGCUGUAACACCUACAGACGGAUGACCAGCAGGUUAAUGCUGUAACACCUACGGACGGAUGACCAGCAGGUUAAUGCUGUAACACCUACGGACGGAUGACCAGCAGGUUAAUGCUGUAACACCUACGGACGGAUGACCAGCAGGUUAAUGCUGUAACACCUACAGACGGAUGACCAGCAGGUUAAUGCUGUAACACCUACAGACGGAUGACCAGCAGGUUAAUGUCGUAAUACCUACUGAUGAUUGACUAGCUGGUUAAUGCUGUAGAAAUUAAUAACAGAUGAGCUGCUGGUUAAUUUACGCUGAUGCUGCAAGCAGCCCUGUCUGUGAUUGAUUAAAAGUCUGAUUGCCUGAUUGCCGACGUUUACCGCUCCCCGCCUGCCGCGUUUGGCAUCUCCAGGAUCAUCUCUCAUCCAGAGGAGACCUUCUCACUGUCCGUUUGUGGCACUCCAGGUUUACGGGGAAGAGCCACUCGGGGCUUUUCAGCAGCUUGCCCACUCCUGCUUAAAUGCCCCCUGCCCCUAUCCCUGGUUAUGCGAAACCUCAUCGUCUCGGUGGCUGCUGGGGGGGGGCUCUGCUGGCCUGCCGGCAGGGCUGACAGGUUGAAGGGCAAUUUGGGAAGUGCGGGCUGCCGGGGCACUGAUGAGGACGGGGCCGUUCAGUUGGACUUCAGCUCAUUCCUCUGCAUGCCAGAAACCAACAACUUAAUAAGCAGAAAGUGUGCAGUAGGUUGCCCCCCCCCCCCCCCAAACUGCUCUUUCCCGUCUUUUGCCAAAGUUCAGGUAAAAACGGCCGGCGAGGUCUUCACUCCUGCGCCUUCCCUUUGUGUGAGUAUAAUUCUGAGUUUUUGUUAAUAAGCCUCUUCCCCAGCCUGGGCUGUCUCUGAUAGGCAGACGGCAUCUUUCCGUUUCUGUCAGACGCUCGGAGGACCUGGAGCAGAACCAAAGGUCUGCAGCCCUGACAGGUUGAGAUGUUCCACUGUCUCUGAAGCCUUCAGCUGGCCCUCGAAACAUCACGUAACUUUAGCUUUAAUAGCGUGUCGGCCUCUGUAACAGGCUGCGCUUAUGGCUCCCGGGGUUCUAUCCAGGAAUAGGGCCGGCGGGGGGGGCAUUUUCGUCAGUCCUGAUAACGCUCUCGCACCUCCCUUGACAAAACGCCUUCACCCACCACCAACGCCUUUGGCUCGUGUGGUCGUCUGAACCGUGGAAAAUGAGCAAUGGACGACCUCUGCCGUAGAUGCUGAUCCGGACUUGUAGAGCCUCCAGGGGCACUGUGUUCUGUGGACCGGAUGGGACGGGCCGCUUCCAUGCCAUGAGGAUAGCCUGCCUUUCUGCUCCCGGGGACCGUCUGCCACGAUGAGGGACGUUUUCAUGUGGGUCCAUAGCGAGUUAAUGACUGUGAAGGCAUCACGGCGCGGCAGUGGGGGGUGGCGGGGGGGCAUGCGAUUGGCUCCAUGCUUCGAUUGGUUUGUCACACCUGACAUGGGUUGAUUAUACUGCCUGCAUAUGAAGAAAGCCUGUAAUUUCUCAUCCAUUUGUGGACGGCUUCCCAUGUCAGGUUGCCCUUUGAUUUCCAAACUGUUGUCGAAAACCUUUUAAGAAGCAAUUUAUAAACAGUGAACAAACGAUUUGUGGGCUUUGGCUGAUUUUGCAGGAUGUCAAAACCCAAUGACUUAAUAAGCAGAUAGAAAGUUGUACCACAAGUUUGUCUCUCUUGGUUUUGCUGUGAACUUUGUGACAUACAAACAGUGGCCCAACCAGACUUUGUAAAGGGUCAUUUUCAAAACCUGGUUCAGGUUUUACUAAUUUUAAGCACUUAGUGAAAUGAAAUCACACUGGUAGUGAAAUGCUUGGUGGAGGACAUGAUGACUCCAACAGUGAUAUUUUCCUUCCUUUUCUGCUUCAUUUCCUUUCUGUUAUCUUCCCAUUUUAUUAAUGUUUUCUCCGUCUCUGAGCGUAUUUUCUCCACUUUCCCGUAUUUUUCCUGCUUCUCGUGUCUUUCCUUCCAGUUUUCCAUGUGUUUCCUUUCCUGUUCCCCAUGUAUUUCCUUCCCCGGUAUUUCCUUCCUGCUUUCCUUCUUUCCUUCCAGUUUUCCAUGCGUUUCCUUUCCUGUUCCCCAUGUAUUUCCUUCCUCCUUCCCAUGUAUUUUCUUCCUGCUUUCCUUCUUUCCUCCCAGUUUUCCAUGUGUUUCCUUCCUAUUUCCCAUAUAUUUUCUUCCUGCUUCCCAGAACAUUCCUUCCUGUUUUCCAUGUGUUUCCUUUCUGUUUCCCUUGUAUUUCCUUCCUUUUUCCUAGGCAUUUCCCUCCCAUUUUCCAUGUCUUUCCUUCCUGUUUCCUUUAUGUUUUCUUCCUGUUUCCUUUGGCUCUUGUUGCUGCUUCCCCCAGUUUUCCCUGUUGUCCUUCUUUUUUCAGGCUAACUCAUGUCUCCUCUUGU